rnacentral:misc_RNA from 1 species
CCGAACUGUCAACACGAGUUGUUGCUGGUCCCCAAACUGGGGGCACGUGCACGCUCUGUUUACACAUCCACCCACACCUGUGCACCCUCUGUAGUUCUAUGGCCUGGGUGACUUUGCCCCCUCGCUGUGGUUCUAUGUAUUUACACACACACACUGCUAUAAAGUCUCAUGGAAUGUUUGUCGCGUUUAACGCAAUACAAUA